GACGAACGCUGGCGGCGUGCUUAACACAUGCAAGUCGAACGGAAAGGCCCUGCUUUUGUGGGGUGCUCGAGUGGCGAACGGGUGAGUAACACGUGAGUAACCUGCCCUUGACUUUGGGAUAACUUCAGGAAACUGGGGCUAAUACCGGAUAGGAGCUCCUGCUGCAUGGUGGGGGUUGGAAAGUUUCGGCGGUUGGGGAUGGACUCGCGGCUUAUCAGCUUGUUGGUGGGGUAGUGGCUUACCAAGGCUUUGACGGGUAGCCGGCCUGAGAGGGUGACCGGCCACAUGGGGACUGAGGGACGGCCCAGACUCCUACGGGAGGCAGCAGUGGGGAAUAUUGCACAAUGGGCGGAAGCCUGAUGCAGCAACGCCGCGUGCGGGAUGACGGCCUUCGGGUUGUAAACCGCUUUCGCCUGUGACGAAGCGUGAGUGACGGUAAUGGGUAAAGAAGCACCGGCUAACUACGUG
rnacentral:rRNA from 1 species